rnacentral:rRNA from 1 species
AACGAACGCUGGCGGCAUGCCUAACACAUGCAAGUCGAACGAGACCUUCGGGUCUAGUGGCGCACGGGUGCGUAACGCGUGGGAACCUGCCCUCAGGUUCGGAAUAACUCCCCGAAAGGGGUGCUAAUACCGGAUAAUGUCUUCGGACCAAAGAUUUAUCGCCUUUGGAUGGGCCCGCGUUGGAUUAGCUAGUUGGUAGGGUAAAAGCCUACCAAGGCGACGAUCCAUAGCUGGUCUGAGAGGAUGAUCAGCCACACUGGGACUGAGACACGGCCCAGACUCCUACGGGAGGCAGCAGUGGGGAAUAUUGGACAAUGGGCGAAAGCCUGAUCCAGCAAUGCCGCGUGAGUGAUGAAGGCCUUAGGGUUGAAAAGCUCUUUUAACCGGGAUGAUAAUGACAGUACCGGGAGAAUAAGCUCCGGCUAACUCCGUG